rnacentral:RNase_P_RNA from 1 species
UGGGUUGGACGCGACGAUCGCGCCCGGGGCGACCCGGUCGAGGAAAGUCCGAGCUCCACAGGGCAGACCGCCAGGCAACACCUGGGCGCCGCGAGGCGAUGGACAGGGCAACAGAGAACAGACCGCCGAUGGCCCGCGGGCGUGCCCGGGGGAACAGGCAAGGGUGAAACGGUGGGGCAAGAGCCCACCGCCCCGACCGCAAGGAAGGGGGCACGGCAACCCCCGGUCGGAGCAAGGUCAAGCAGCGACGAGGUGCGGCCCGCACCGCUCGAGUCGCGGGUAGACCGCUGGAGGUGGCCGGUGACGGCCACCCGAGAGAGAUGAUCGUCACCCGAUCCCCGCGAGGGGCGAGGGCAACAGGACUCGGCUUACGGUUCGACCCACACC